GGCGAGAUGGCCGAGUGGUCUAAGGCGCUAGUUUCAGGUUACUGAAAUCCGACCCCUUCGGGGAUCAUUACUAGUCUUCACAGGCGUGGGUUCGAAUCCCACUCUCGUCA
rnacentral:tRNA from 1 species